rnacentral:rRNA from 1 species
AUGGAGACUGACUGUCAGGAGUUAGUGCAACUCUGGCAUACACGCCACAACUCACGUUCGGUUGUGGCUCCUAUCCUAGAUGAAAUAGAAGAGCUUAGUUGUGAUUUUUCUGUUUUUGAGAUUCAACAUGUAGUAAGGUCAGCAAACUUACCGGCACAUCUAUGUGCAAAACGUGCAUGCACAUUGAAUGUGACCGAAUGUUGGCUAGAGGAGACCCCUAGUUUUUUGGUAACCAGCCUUCUGGCUGAUUGCCCGGGGAACACUUUUGUUGAAUAA